rnacentral:sRNA from 12 species
ACCGCCGCCGGACGGAGCGGGUCGCGAGGGUUGGGGAACCCGAUGACCGGGUCGCUGCCGAGACGGCUCCGGGUCUUAGGGAGCCCGGGGCCGGUCGUUCUGGCGAAGGAG